rnacentral:lncRNA from 10 species
CUAGCUCAUAGCCAUUUUCCAGACUCCCUGAAGGAAGCAGGUGUUAAGCAUGAGCCACAAUUUUUGUACAGUUUAGGCCCAGCCAGCCCCACUUGUCAGUUAGGGAACAGUGGGAAGACUCCUGAAGUCCAAGUUCCCAGAUGCCAGACAAGGGCCAAGCUUGCAAGUAGGGCUUUCUAAGCCAGUUUCAGGUUUGCUAUGUUAACUCUUUACUGCAUCCAUACAGGGAAAGGGUGAGGAAAGGCUCUCUGGGCAAACAGUUCCAGGACUGCCACAACACACUGUGCUCUUUCAUCAUGGCAUGGCCAGUCCCUCACAUGAGAUGUCAAUAGGCCUGGAGCACGAGGAGACUCCAAUGAGAACGUCACAAGGGUAAUCCAGUUCUGCCCCUACUUUCUUGGCCUUACCAGCUCAGCAUGAGACCUCCAAGGAGACGUGAACUCCCUCUGGCUGCACGGGCCUGGGCAUACCUUCUCACUCUUCUGAAGCUGAAGGGCUCACCCCAUUGCCUCCCCAAGAAGCAGGGAAAGAUGAAAACCCAUGCCAGGGACAGGUCCAGAUGGCAGGAGUUUUCUCUUUGCUUUGGCUUCCCUGGGCAUAGCCCACUCUUGCCAGGGAUCUACGAUCACCUGUAAUCUACCUUCCCGAGGAGCAGUGAUGGAUUGCUGGGGGCUGCCUCACCUCAUGGCAGGCAAAUGGAAGAAAGCUGUUCUCGCCUUAGGAAAGAAAGAUUUAACUAAUGUACCCACCUUCUUACAGUAAAUAUCUCUGUCUUAAAAAAAAUUUUAAUUGUGGUAAAAUACACAUAAAAUUUAUAAUCUUAACCAUUUUUCAGUAUACAAUUCAGUAGUGUUAAGGCUAUUCAUGGUAUUGUAUGACCCAUCUCCAGAAUGUUUCUGUCUUGCAAAACUGAAACUCUGUUUCCAUUAAACAACUCCCUGUGAAUAUGUGUGUCUGUGUGUGUCUGGCUAUAUAUUUGUGAGUGUAUAUGUCUGUCUGCAUGUGACUGUGCACACAUCUGUGUGAG